rnacentral:rRNA from 1 species
UACGUAGGGGGCAAGCGUUGUCCGGAUUUAUUGGGCGUAAAGCGCGUGUAGGCGGCUAGGUAGGUCCGUUGUGAAAACUCGAGGCUCAACCUCGAGACGCCGAUGGAAACCAUCUAGCUAGAGUCCGGAAGAGGAGAGUGGAAUUCCUGGUGUAGCGGUGAAAUGCGCAGAUAUCAGGAAGAACACCCGUGGCUAAGGCGGCUCUCUAGUACGGUACUGACGCUGAGACGCGAAAGCGUGGGGAGCAAACAGG